UUCUGUUCCCUCUCUUCAUCUCCAGCAAAGUGCUCUGCUAGGGCACAACUUCCGUUCGUCUCCGAGCUACCAAAACCCUUCCUUUUUCCAGUUUCAGCUCACUGUCACAGUUCUUGGGGCUGUUGUGCUACAUAGUUAGGGUCUGGUUGUUGUUGGUGCUCAAACAAGAUGGGAAUGCUUCUGGAGGUAGGCUUGAUGGUGGUAGCAGUGCAGCCUAGUGGGCCCGUUGAGGUGGCUUUCGAAGAAGUUCUAUGGCCCUAGUGCCUUGUAAUUCCAUGCUCCUAGAGCAUUUCUUUUGCACAACUGUUAAACUUUAGAUUUAUGUUUCUUAUGGCAUGGUUGUAUGUCCAGGUUUUCCUCUAAGUACUCCUAUGGAUGACUGUAAUAGUUACUUUCCGUACGUUUCAUGUUGAUCGGAUUGGUUCUCGUUAUCAAAAUGUUGUGAUGCUUAUUUGGUAGAGUAAUCUAUUAAA